CUGUCCUGUUAUAUAUUAUACAGGGUCUGGUUGAUCUGUCCUGUUAUAUAUUAUACAGGGUCUGGUUGAUCUGUCCUGUUAUAUAUUAUACAGGGUCUGUAUCUGAUCUGUCCUGUUAUAUAUUAUACAGGGUCUGGUUGAUCUGUCCUGUUAUAUAUUAUACAGGGUCUGUAUCUGAUCUGUCAUGUUAUAUAUUAUACAGGGUCUGUAUCUGAUCUGUCAUGUUAUAUAUUAUACAGGGUCUGUAUCUGAUCUGUCCUGUUAUAUAUUAUACAGGGUCUGGUUGAUCUGUCCUGUUAUAUAUUAUACAGGGUCUGGUUGAUCUGUCCUGUUAUAUAUUAUACAGGGUAUGUAUCUGAUCUGUCCUGUUAUAUAUUAUACAGGGUCUGGUUGAUCUGUCCUGUUAUAUAUUAUACAGGGUCUGUAUCUGAUCUGUCCUGUUAAAUAUUACACAGGGCCUGUAUCUGAUCAUGAUCCUCCCUGUUUAUCACCAGUGAAGUUCUGAACAGCUGAAUGUAUGUAUCUUAGAAAUAGUUUUCACACCCAAACUUCAUACGUCCAAACUCAAAUGUGCUGAUCAAAAAUAACAUGUUCGCUGUAGUAGAACGUUUAUUUUGAUUGCCAAUGUUCUGCAUUUAACCGAGUGCAAUCAGGUAGCCUGCUUUCAGAUGUGUCCAUGUAAAUAUGAUCAUUAGGGAAAAUUGUUAUUUUUGCAAAGGAUGUAAAGUUUUUAAACAAACUAUUAUGUUAAUCGCCUUAUUGUGUGCAUAUAACCGCACUCAAUGAGAAAAAAAGUAGUUGGCUUGAGCAUAAAUUCAGCCGCUACUCAGCAGGUCUGGUCUGGCUAAUAGCCUACACAAAUGAGCUGCAAUAUUCGAGGUAGAUUUAAUUAAAUACAAUUAAAUCCAACUUGAGACUCCCCUUGUCUCCUGAAGUCCUCCUGAAGAGGAUUGUCAGUGUCCUUGUUCUGAUCUGAACUGUGCAUUGUGCUCUCUAGCUUUGCUACAUCUCACUAUCCCUGUCUCUUUCUCUCUUCAUCUCUCUCUCCAUCUCUCUCUCUCUCUAGGUAUCCC
rnacentral:lncRNA from 1 species